CCCUAUGGGGCGCACCGGGGCAUCCGGGUCUUUGCGCUCGGAGAUAACAAACCGGUUGCCGCAAAUCCCCUGCAUGAUCUCAAGUAGCCGCUUCUUAUCCCUCCUAUCCAUCCAUCCCGUAAUGAACAUCGCCCUGGCAGAAAAUAGGGACAUGCGCAUGGCCUUGAGUAUCUCUUCAUAGGCAUGGUAAGUGCUGUUCAAUUGUUUGAGAGCCUGGCCUCUUUCUUCCUUCAAACGAUUGAUGUAGUCAUCAAUGACUUCAUUACGCCGCCUCAGGCUCUUUGCCCGUUUUUUCAAACUUUCCAGAGGGACAUCGCGGACAUCUGCGGAUGUGUCGGCAAACCCAUAGCCUUUCAGGAAUUGGCGGGGGGGC
rnacentral:rRNA from 1 species